CGAGAUAGCUUCAUCUAAAUUUUAAAGUUCUUGGCUUGAUUGAAUUAAAUCCACAUGAAUCCUCAAAUUUGAAGACUAUUGAUGUUGAAUUGCUUUUUAUUAGUGUUUUCUCUUCUGGUUGUUGAUGUAAUCUUGCGCUGAUCUAUUAAAUUGAACUUUUUUAUCAACAAGAUUAAGGUCAGAAACCUGUCCACAAUUUAUAUAUCCACAAUUUGUUGAUUCAAACAAUAUUAUUCAUUCUAUAUAAUCAAUAUCAACCCGUCCACGAUUUGUAUAUCCACAAUUCAUUGGUUCAAACGAUACCAUUCAUUUUAUAUAAUCAAUAUCAACCUGUCCACAAUUUGUAUAUCCACAAUUUAUUGGUUCA
rnacentral:lncRNA from 1 species